AGCUGGUUCCCUCCGAAGUUUCCCUCAGGAUAGCUGGAGCCCAUUACGAGUUCUAUCAGGUAAAGCCAAUGAUUAGAGGCAUUGGGGACGCAACGUCCUCAGCCUAUUCUCAAACUUUAAAUAGGUAGGAUGGCUCGGCUGCUUCGGUGAGCCGUGCCACGGAAUCGGGUGCUCCAAGUGGGCCAUUUUUGGUAAGCAGAACUGGCGAUGCGGGAUGAACCGGAAGCCGGGUUACG
rnacentral:ncRNA from 1 species